rnacentral:lncRNA from 1 species
AUUCAUCAGCGAGAGGGGACCUGAAAGCAGGUCGCCAUCUGUGAGGAUUAAAGUUAGGACCAAAUGCUGCUCAGAAAUUGUUUUAAUCUCAAAAGUAGUUGGCAAGUUUUCAGAGUUCAUUUUCAAGGCCUGGUGUAUGCAUUGGUUACAUGAAAACCGUGUGACAACCUUGGAAGUCUGAAAGAGCAGGAGAGAGGCUAAGCACACACAUAUUGUGAUUUUAAGAGUCUCAAGGGCUGACACAAGCUGAGAUGAGGAAAUAUGACCUCCUACACGUGUUUUCCAUGAGGAAUAUGUUUGCUGUGCAGUCACUGAGUUAAAAGCAACCUUCAUUCCCUUGUGCACCAAGGUAGUGCCUCUCCAGAGCUGUAGAUGUCUUCCCAGGAUAUUCCAUCAUUCUACACAGCAUUUAAUUCUUGGAGCUCACAGUCCAAGACUGUUAUCAGUCCAUUUUCACUCUAUUGAUCAAGACAUACUCAAGACUGGGUAAUUUAUAAAGAAAAUGAAUGGACUCACAGUUUCACGUUGCUGGGGAGGCCUCACAGUCCAGGCAAUCACAGUCUUACAUGGCAGCAAGCAAGAGCGAAUGAGAACCAAGCAAAAGGGAAACUCAUUAUAAAACCAUCAGCUAUUGUGAGACUUCUUCACUACCACAAGAAUAGUAUGGGGUAAACCUCCCCCAUGAUUCAAUUAUCUCCCACCAGGUUCCUCCCAGAGCACGUGGGAAUUAUGGGAGCUACAAUUCAAGAUGAGAUUUGGGUAGGUACACAGCCAAACUAUAUCAGUGACUCAUCUAGAAUUUUAUUCAUAUAGGUUUAAACAAUGGUUAACAUGUACAGUUAUAAGAUCAUUCUCAUUUACAAAUUUAAUGUUUA